rnacentral:rRNA from 1 species
CAGUCGCCACGGGAAUACGAAGGGGGCUAGCGUUGCUCGGAAUGACUGGGCGUAAAGGGCGCGUAGGCGGCAUGUACAGUCAGACGUGAAAUUCCUGGGCCUAACCUGGGGGCUGCGUUUGAUACGUGCAGGCUAGAGUGGGGAAGAGGGUUGUGGAAUUCCCAGUGUAGAGGUGAAAUUCGUAGAUAUUGGGAAGAACACCGGUGGCGAAGGCGGCAACCUGGUCCUUGACUGACGCUGAGGCGCGAAAGCGUGGGGAGCAAACAGGAUUAGAUACCCCCGUAGUCCCUGUCUCUUAUAC